rnacentral:tRNA from 1 species
GGGGUCGUAGCUCAGCUGGCAGAGCACCGCCUUUGCACGGCGGGGGUCAGGGGUUCGAAUCCCCUCGGCUCCACCA